UAGCAAGUUAGACCCACCACAGCUGUUGGCUGAUUUCUCGAUCACCAGAACGUUCUCAGUAAUACAAUUAUUGCUCAUUCGAGUUAAAUAAAUGGAAAAUAUAUACUUCUGCGAUCUCAAAG
rnacentral:lncRNA from 1 species